rnacentral:rRNA from 1 species
GAUGAACGCUGGCGGCGUGCCUAAUACAUGCAAGUCGAGCGAACGGACGAGAGGCUUGCUUCUCUGAUGUUAGCGGCGGACGGGUGAGUAACACGUGGAUAACCUACCUAUAAGACUGGGAUAACUUCGGGAAACCGGAGCUAAUACCGGAUAAUAUUUUGAACCGCAUGGUUCAAAAGUGAAAGACGGUCUUGCUGUCACUUAUAGAUGAAUCCGCGCUGCAUUAGCUAGUUGGUAAGGUAACGGCUUACCAAGGCAACGAUGCAUAGCCGACCUGAGAGGGUGAUCGGCCACACUGGAACUGAGACACGGUCCAGACUCCUACGGGAGGCAGCAGUAGGGAAUCUUCCGCAAUGGGCGAAAGCCUGACGGAGCAACGCCGCGUGAGUGAUGAAGGUCUUCGGAUCGUAAAACUCUGUUAUUAGGGAAGAACAUAUGUGUAAGUAACUGUGCACAUCUUGACGGUACCUAAUCAGAAAGCCACGGCUAACUACGUG